rnacentral:rRNA from 1 species
CAGUAGCCACGGUAAUACAGAGGGUGCGAGCGUUAAUCGGAUUUACUGGGCGUAAAGCGUGCGUAGGCGGCUAAUUGAGUCGGAUGUGAAAUCCCCGAGCUUAACUUGGGAAUUGCAUUCGAUACUGGUUAGCUAGAGUGUGGGAGAGGAUGGUAGAAUUCCAGGUGUAGCGGUGAAAUGCGUAGAGAUCUGGAGGAAUACCGAUGGCGAAGGCAGCCAUCUGGCCUAACACUGACGCUGAGGUACGAAAGCAUGGGGAGCAAACAGGAUUAGAGACCCCCGUAGUCCCUGUCUCUUAUAC